UACGUAGGGUCCAAGCGUUGUCCGGAUUUAUUGGGCGUAAAGCGCACGUAGGCGGAUUGCUAAGUCAGGGGUGAAAUCCUGGAGCUCAACUCCAGAACUGCCUUUGAUACUGGCGAUCUCGAGUCCGGGAGAGGUGAGUGGAACUGCGAGUGUAGAGGUGAAAUUCGUAGAUAUUCGCAAGAACACCAGUGGCGAAGGCGGCUCACUGGCCCGGUACUGACGCUGAGGUGCGAAAGCGUGGGGAGCAAACAGG
rnacentral:rRNA from 1 species